rnacentral:ncRNA from 1 species
GCAUUUCACUAGGGGAGUCAAUUGGACUGAGACGAAAGCCCGCGCUUUUAGACCCUUGGAACCUGAUCUGGAUUAUACCAGCGGAGGGAAGUGAACGUCAGGACCU